GACGAACGCUGGCGGCGUGCUUAACACAUGCAAGUCGAACGGAGUGGCGAACGGGUGAGUAACACGUGGGUGACCUGCCCUGCACUUCGGGAUAAGCCUGGGGAACUGGGUCUAAUACCGGAUAGUGUGGGGUGGGCCCGGGGCCAAGCAGCUGGUUGGGGGGGUAAUGGCCUACCAAGGCGGGGACGGGUAGCCGGCCUGAGAGGGUGGACGGCCCCAUGGGGCCUGAGACACGGCCCAGAAUCCUACGGGAGGCAGCAGUGGGGAAUAUUGCACCAUGGGCGGAAGCCUGAUGCAGCGACGCCGCGUGGGGGAUGACGGCUUUCGGGUUGUAAACUCCUUUCACCAUCGCCGCGGUAGAUGGAGAAGAAGCACCGGCUAACUACGUGCCAGCAGCCGCGGUAAUAC
rnacentral:rRNA from 1 species